rnacentral:tRNA from 1 species
CCGGGGCGGGGGCCGGAGCCGGGAUCCGGGGCUUCGCGGGCGCCGGGACCGGCGCCUGGGUCUGGUUCGACGCCUGGCCCGGAGCC